UCUACUUUACAGAGGGAUAGCCCAGAGUAAUUUGGAUUAAUACCUCAUAGUAUUUUGAAUCGCAUGAUUUGAUUAUUAAAGUUCCAACGGUAAAAGAUGAGUAUGCGUCCCAUUAGCUAGAUGGUAAGGUAACGGCUUACCAUGGCUACGAUGGGUAGGGGGUCCUGAGAGGGAGAUCCCCCACACUGGUACUGAGACACGGACCAGACUCCUACGGGAGGCAGCAGUGAGGAAUAUUGGACAAUGGGCGCAAGCCUGAUCCAGCCAUGCCGCGUGCAGGAUGACGGUCCUAUGGAUUGUAAACUGCUUUUAUACAGGAAGAAACACUACUUCGUGAAGUAGCUUGACGGUACUGUAAGAAUAAGGAUCGGCUAACUCCGUG
rnacentral:rRNA from 1 species